GGAAGAGUGGCCGAGCGGUCAAUGGCAGCAGACUGUAAAUCUGCCCACGUAAGUGUUCGCAGGUUCGAAUCCUGCCUCUUCCA
rnacentral:tRNA from 1 species